UGGGGAAUCUUGCACAAUGGGGGAAACCCUGAUGCAGCGACGCCGCGUGAGCGAUGAAGCCCUUCGGGGUGUAAAGCUCUUUCGGCAGGAACGAUAAUGACGGUACCUGCAGAAGAAGCUGCGGCUAACUACGUGCCAGCAGCCGCGGUAAUACGUAGGCAGCGAGCGUUGUUCGGAGUUACUGGGCGUAAAGAGUGCGUAGGCGGUUACGCAAGUUCGGUGUGAAAUCUCCCGGCUCAACUGGGAGGGUGCGCCGGAAACUGCGGAGCUAGAGUGCGGGAGAGGAGAGCGGAAUUCCUGGUGUAGCGGUGAAAUGCGUAGAUAUCAGGAGGAACACCGGCGGUGUAGACGGCUCUCUGGACCGUGACUGACGCUGAGGCACGAAAGCGUGGGGAGCAAACAGG
rnacentral:rRNA from 2 species